CCCUCCGCACUGGGAUGUCAGCUGGCCGGCCAGGCCCCCUCGGCCGUGCCCUGGCCUUGAGAGCAGCCGCGCGGGCAGCUGGCGGGGACAGGUAUGCGGGGCCAGCUCUUAAAACACCCAUGCACAGCACCGUCCCCGAGCCAGAGCUACAGCCAGUAACCAUCUGUGGGUGCUUGGUGAAAAUACAGCUUCUCACCUCGCUCCUGGACGUUCUGCAUCCACACAGGCGGCACAGGGACCUAUAGCAAGGGCCCCAGGAGCUUCGCACCACCCAGUGCAGUGUGGAAAAGGAACAAAGGGCCCGGCGGCUCAUCUAACUUUCCAGUUGUCAAAGCAAAUUGGAUGCAGAGAGGACGGAGUUGAUGACACAUGAGAACAGAUGUGGACUUAGAGGUUGAGAGAGAAGAAGUAACCUGUCCAAGACUUCACAGCAAGAGCUAGAGCGGCAGUUGGUAGCCAGGUCUCCGGACACAAGGUCUACAACAAUAACAAAACAGUAGUGUGGUAAUGCCUGCAACUCUCACACGUGAUCACACGGCAUCCGUGGUGUGAUGUGAGACCUGCACGCGGCAGGAUUCGGUCUCCGCACAUGAGGAAACAGAAGCUUAGGGACGACAAAGACUUGGCCGAAGGCAGAGAGGAGGAUGCUGGCAAAGGACGGGAUUCUGGGCUGUUCCCGCCUCCAGCUCAGCUCUUGACCCAGCGCACCCAGCUUCAGAUGAGAGAACGUGGCCCUUAGUCCCCCAGAAAUGGCCAAGAAGUGUGGGCACGGGCCGAAUUUCCAGGCCUGCUUAAGAAUACUGUAGGAUGAAAAUGCAAAGGCUAUGUUCUGGAAAAGUCUCAUCAAUGGAAAGGCUCUAAGUUCUUGGCGGCCCCGUCUGUGACAGGGCUUAAUCUCUGUGAGGCCCUGCACCCGUGUCUUGUAUGAGGAAGCCUACUAGUUGUCUGGAAGCAUCUUGGGAACAGUAAAGAUACAUGCGUACCUCAGAACAAUUAAUCUCCGCACGUACUGGUGGCAAGCACGGUCUCUGACACGAAGUGCUCUGCAAACUGUGGCCCUCGAGCAAACGGUCUGUCUUCUACACCAGGUAACGCCACUUGCUGCGAUUAAAACCCACCAGGGGUCACAUUCCACUCCCAGAAAAUUGUUAACACUGACCCAGAAGCUCUCAAAAUGUGUUGUGGGACCCUAAAAAGGUCACAAGCCAGAUCCUGUAGCCACGGAGCCUGACUGAUGAGAUGAUUCUGAUCGCGCAGAGGCCAGUGCCUUCUCAAUGAAGAGGAUCCCCAGCAUGGUUGUGUCCUCAAAGCUGAAGCCACCAAGAGAAAUCAUUCCUCAUUACAAACUGUCCUUUGGGUCGAGGGUGCAAACAUGUCCUUCUCUAAAUGCUGUUCCUGGCAGGAAACUUUGCCACUUGGUCAAUGGACUGAACCCGGGAAGAUGACCGAAUGAUCUGGGAGGCUCUGAAUUCUCCAUCGUUAAUUCACAUGGUCCAAUUCUGCUCAUCAAUUCAGGUAGGUCCAAAAUACCAGUAGGCCAGAGAGUGUGAUGAUGGAAAAGCUCUUACAGAGAAGAAGAUGGGCCAGGGAAAUGGGCAUCCUUAGGUCCAGUCAUGGGAGGAAUUUGGGGUAGAGAAGGCUACUCACGUCAUUAAAAAGCCCACGCUAUGGCAGAGGCUCUGUCGAAUUUCAUCCGGCAAAUCCAACAUCUUUUCAAGGGGAGCAUUAACUCCAUUUCAUGGACUGGAUGACUCGGGCUCAAACAGCCAAUAUUUGCCCAAAGUGAUCCAGUGACAGAACCCCAGUCUUGUCUUAUUCCAACCUCUGCUCUGUCUUCCUGCCAUUGUGAUGGAGAGCCUUGCUUACGAUUUUUUGGAGGAAAUUAGCAGCAUGUUCUGAGGUUUGUGCUUGGAAUACCAGCAGGCUUAAGAGGAUUGCAAGAGCAAUGUCUUUUAGGAUUUUCCAUUUGCAGAAGGCACAAUCCUACAACAAACAGUCAGGACGAAAGAACUGGAGAGAAGUAAAUUAAGGGCUUACAAACACGCGAUCAAGCCUUUGUCUAGAGUAGUGGAGCCAAGAACCCAGCUGACUAACAAAUGCCCAUGGAACACCUACUUUGUGCAGAAGGCCCUGAGGGAUGAUAACCUCUCAGGCUUGGGUCCUCCGAGGCAGACAGACACGGAAGUAGAUAGGGAGAGCUCUGGCCGAUGAGUCAGAAGAUCAGAAUUUGCAAACUUCUCUUCCACUCCCUGGCUGUGUGGCCUUAGACAUGUGAAUGUGCCUCUCUGAGCCUCAGUUAAUGUUUUGUAAGAUGGAGGUGCUAAUUCUCGCUCAAGCACCUCUCAGGUCUGUCAUUCCUGUGGAUGCAUCCCUGAUAAACUCCGGCGUGUGGUAAACUACUCUCCUCUUUAUGACUGUCCCUUGGGCGGACCCACUCUGUGGGCAAGAGGUAUGUUGUUUCUCUUUCCUCGGCACAGGCAUUUGGUGGAUCCGAGAUGAAUGAAGCUGUAAAUCUCUUAUAUCUUAGCUAAAAUAACCUCUUUGAAUGCACAUGGACCUUAACGGGACCUUAAUCUUCCUGCCCUGUUGAUACUUUAAAUAAUAAAGACCUUUUUUUUUUUUUUCCCAAAUAUCCAAACUCCGUGCACUGACCAGGAGUCUGUCGAUCCACAAGACGCUUCAUGGAAAUCAAUUUUGUUUGCAAAACAACUUUAUGGUGUUUUCUAUAAAAGCCAAAUGAAUCCUACAGCCAUCAACCUGGGGAGGACGUUUCUCCUUUUCUGCAGCUCAAUUUUCACAACGGAUAUUCUCAUUUGAUCCACACCACCAAUUAGGCGAGGGUCCUUUGUAACUCCCAGACUCGAAAUAUCCGGGACCGUCAGAUUCAGAAGGGCCCUCGGAGUCACAUAGCCUUGUUCCCGGGUCGUAGAGGAGAAGGUCUGCUGCGGAGUGGGAAGGGACUUGUUCAAGGUCAGAGGACAGAGCUAGUCUUGCAAAGGGGUUGAGUGUCUUUCCCUUAACUCAGUGGAAAUGGCUACUGACCAGGACAUCUCUGGACGAAGCCAGCGGGCCUCUCUGCCUAUCCUGCGUCACCAAACGGAGCCAUGAAGCAGCUUCCUCAUCUGAUGGGUUCCCAGCUCUGUCAAGACUUUUGCCACAUGCUCUCUGAUGCGGCCCUCUGCUCAGACCUUGCAGACAGGGACACACGCUGUGGACAUUCUCACGGUCCAGCUCGUGGCCAGAACAUCAGGGGGCUGGUGUGGCGCCGGUGUUCUCUGCGGGAUGGGCGGAGUGGACUCUCCUUCUCCCCGGACAUGGACUCCCGGGGCCGUGGGAGAGGCGGGAGAGGACUGGUGUCCUGGAGGUCAGGCCUGGCAUCGGUGGCGGAUUGGUGGCCACAGGAGCAGUCCCGAAUGGCCUGUGCGGUACCUUGAUCUGGAACCUGCCGGGGGUUAUUGGCUGCAAUCACAGAUUAGUCAGAUUCCCAGCUGGCGCCUCUGAGCAGGGAGCUGCGGUGAAGAGGCCUGCGACUUCCUUCCUCCUCCGAAACAGGCCUGGAGAGGGAGGCCCUUGCGCUGUAAUUAUAUGUCGGCAGGAAACAAAUAGCUAAGACCUGUCUCUGAGUGAGGAAGGAAGGAAGACAUCCAGGGCUCUGGGGAUUCUUUAUCUUCUGUUCUUGAGGCACUGGAAUAAUAAGAACUACUAUCUACCUUUCAAUCUUUGCCAACCCUGGCGAAGUGGGUAUUAUUAGCCUUAGUCCGAAGAUAAAGGAUAGCGAGUUACCCACGGCUGCGGCGCUACUAGGUCGUGUCGCAGAGCUGGGACUGAAUGACACUUCUGCCUGACUGCAGUCCCUGCUGGUCCCUCUGCCUCAGCUGUAUGUGGUCUGGGCACUUCUUAUGGCUCAGGAUGGCCUCCUUACAUUGCACAGAACGCCUGACCAAGGAGGCUGAAGUCUAGUACACGCUUUCGUCCAUACCUCAUGUGCUCGGACUCGCUUCUGCCCCUGACCAGAGGGAAGGGUACCGCCUCCUGUGCACAGACUCUCUCUGCUCAGAAGCCUGUCCCCACGGGGACACAGCCGCCCGCCAGAGACACCAUUUUGGUACCAUGCAAAGGUACAGUGAUGGCCUAACGUUAGCUGUGGUCAUUGUAACUUCUCUGGGCCUCAGUCUUUUCUCUUGAGAAAGUGAGGAUCUUCUUCCAACCAUCCGCUGCGAGCCCCGGACCAUCCACGCACAGGAUGAGGAACUGAGGCCGGGACUCUGGAAAGUGCCUGUCGGGGAGCCUGGCUCCAGGGUCCUCCCUGCUUGGCUGUCUCCUCUCAAAACUGAUCCAAGCAGAAUGGGUUUCAAUUUCCCAAAUGACUUUCAAUCUUCUAAGGAAGGGUGGAAUAAAGGAGGUAAAGAUGGGGGCCGGGGAGAAAGAUGGCUAACGUGUGGAACACAGAGAUGCGCUAGAGAGAAAGUGGGUGGGAGGGUCUGGGGAUCUCAGAUCUCUUUUUAUUCGGGCAGAAAGGAGGAUGUCUGGGGGCGCGUGGGUGGCUCAGUGUCAUGAUCUUGUGGUUUGUGGAUUUGAGCUCCA